rnacentral:tRNA from 1 species
CAAAGAUUUUCAUUAGUAGAUCCAAAGACAAUGUCAUGGGCGAGGUCUCUGGUUCAAGUCCAGGAUGGCCCA